UGGGGUGAAGCGUUGUGGGGAAAUGGGGGCAAAAAUGGGGGCCAAAAUGGGGUUUUCUUUGAAAAUUGGGGGUUUGGGGGGACGUUUUGUGGCCAAAUCUGGACCCAGAUGGACCCCAAAAUGGGCAAAAAUGGUCAUUUCUCUGAAAAUUGCAGUUUUUGGUAAAUUUUGUGGCCAAAUCUGAACCCAAAUGUACCCAAAAAUGGGCAUUUC
rnacentral:lncRNA from 1 species